rnacentral:lncRNA from 1 species
AAAUGGAGAACAGCUGCUCACGCUCGUCGUCUGACAUCAGCUAUUUCUCAGGAUGACCCUGCGAGACAGGCCAGGGUCAUUAGACCCAAUUUGGUUCUCAGCAAAUAUGUGUUUAUUCCUGCAUGCGUGGGCCACAGGCUGGUUUCUUGGGUGCAAUGAAUAGCUGCAGGUUUAUUAGGGUGUCUUUUUAGAUGGAUGUAUGUUUCCCGAUGUCUAUAGAACACUCCGGACCCCGGAGAGUGAAGACUCUGCCUGUCGGACUUGCUUUGAGAAGAUCCUUCUCCACCUCCCCAUGGCAGAAGUUGCUUCACAGAGGGGAACAGUUUUAUGGAUGUGGCUGAGACCUUAAACUUGAGGCAACCCAUCUGAGGUGGCAUCCAGAGGAGACUGGCUGGCCCCUCCUUCACCUUGGAUGUAGUGCUGUUUCUAGGAUCUCUUUUCAAUCAGCAAAACAGGGGAUGUUCCAAGAGGGUGUGGAUUCCCUGCCAUCCCACAUGGUCAAGUGGAGGGGACGGGAAAAAGCUAUGAAGGGUUUGUGACCACACAGACUCUCCUGGCCCCCUGUCCUUUUGGAAAGAAGACAGGGAUGAAAUAUAAUCAAGCAAUUAACCACCCCCAUCAUCACCAAGAACAACAGUAUCAACAAGAAGAACAGGGACAACAAAACCCACGGAUGAAACAUUCCUUUCUCAGCUCAGAUCUUAUCUGGUGCGUUCUCUCUCUGCUCUGUCUUGGUGUGUGGUUUAGAGAAACAUGGACAACGCUGUUUGGAAGAACAGGGUCGAGCUGUUCCUGAUGUUUAUCGGAGACUGGGAUCAAAGCUAUCCAGGUCAUAAAUCUCUCUCUGUGGCUGUUGGGCCCCAGGGCAGCUGAAGAGGGUUGACAGCCCUUUGGACCUCAAAGGAAAAAAUGUGCUCUACUCCACCCACUCCCAGCUCUGCCAAGAAGCUGUCCUCUGAGAAGCCAUGGCUGGGCCGUUCCAUUCUGGGGAGCUGCUGAAAAGAGCUGGGAGGCCGAGAAGAACUUGCGUGUGCUGGGGGAGAGGAAGCCUGGCCUUGAGGGAGGGGUGCAGGUGUGGCUCCUCUGUGUGUGGGGGCUGGGGGACCUUGUGUGCCUUUUCCUUGUGGCUGUGAAAUGCUUUAUGAGUACUUCCAUAGGAGGAUGGACAGGGAGUCGGGGAGAUAAACUCAGCCACAAGGCCCCAGGGCCUCAGGAAACUUGCACCCAACCCUCUCAUUUUACAGAAGAAAACUGUGCCUGGAAGGUUGAAGGGUUUGUUCCCAGUCACACAACCAGGGAUCCUUAGGACAGCCAGACCAGGAAACCAUUUCCAAACUGCCAAGCCAUGGCAGAGUAUCAAGACCUCAGGAACCAUCGAGACACCAUGGAAGCAUUGGGAAAAGCCUCCUUAGCUUUUGAAGCUCCUCAUUGUUCUUGAGUGUGCAUGGAGCCCAUGACUGCGGGGUUUUGUAGACACCUCAGGGAUUACAUGACUGGUACCCCUGACAAAGUCAAGGCUGCUGGACAAAAUGAGUCCGAGGAUUUCAGGGGCAGCUGGGCGCAGGAGCUGGUGGGCUGUUGGGAGUGCCCCUUUACUGGGCAGGCUUCCUUCCUCCUGGUGAUGGGGGGUUCCUCAGCACAAAAGUGAAGGGGUGGAGGGGCUGGAGGAGCAGGAAUCUCUCUUGUUGAUAGGUAUGAGGCCUUGAAGUCCUUUUCUUUGUCCCAGGAUUCAUGGACGCUUCGGGGCUGAUCUUUGAGUUUUCAAGCAUGGGGUGCAGAGACGUUUAGGUAAACUCUUACCGUCCUCUCUCUUCGUCAGGGCUUCCCAGGAAUCAACAAUGCCCAAGAAGGAAGGGAUUGUAGAAAUAGCUUAACCCUUUCAUUUACCAACGUGGAAAUUGAAGCCCAGGGAAGGGAAGGGACCGGUCGUGGAAGGGAGAGCCAUCAGCAGAAAGAGACCCUGAGAUCUUCGCCUGGGAUUCCCAGGAAGUCCAGCCCGAGCUGAUUCACAGAACAAAUGCAUGCAAACCUUGCUAUCAAUAAAUUACACAUGCACUUACGUAAAACACAUAAAAAUAUAUGGCCUUGGUUUUGGAACAAUACCCCACAGAUAAAAGUAGCUUUAAAUCCUCCAUAAAAUGAUAAAGUCUAGUCCUAAACUCCUAGCAGUUCUGCGGGUGAUCACAGGCGGCAGGAGCCGCUCAAACUUUAAUGGCUUGGUAUCUCCACAUGUAGACAGGAGGCAGAAAACCAUCGGGGAUGAAGUCGUGGGCUCUAGAAUUGCAAAGACGUGGGUUCCAGGCCAGGCUUGGCCCUUGCUAACUGUUGACCUUGAGCAAAUUACCCAACCUGUUCCUUAUUUGUUUCUGCCUCAUAGGUAGUUGUGCAGAUGAAAUGAUAUCAGUUCUCAGAACAGUGCUGGGGACAGAGUACACUCUAUGCUCAAUACAUAUUCACUUUUAGAGAUAUCUUGGGAUUCUCAGUCUAAGUGACAUUCAAAAGUACCUCACUGGGAGGCAAGACCAAGGUGGAGCCUCCUCUUGGAUGGGAUGUGGGCCUAUUUUAUUUUACUUCUUUAUUUUUGUAGGUGCAUGCCACCACACUUGCUAAUUAAUUUUUUUUUUUUUUUUUUGUAGAGAUGGGGUCUCACUAUGUUGCUCAGGCUGGUCUUAAACUCCUGGCCUCAAGCAAUCCUCCUGCCUCAGCCUCCCACAGUGCUGGGAUUACAGGCAUGAACCACUGAGCCCGGCACCUCUAUUUUAAAUCUAUUUUAUCUUUUGAGAUAUAGUCUUGCUCUGUCACCCAGGCUGGAGUGCAGUGGCGCGAUCUCAGCUCCCUGUAACCUCUGCCUCUCGGGUUCAAGCAAUUCUUCUGCCUCAACCUCCCAAGUAGCUGGGACUACAGGCGCCCGCCACCACGCCUGUCUAAUUUUUUGUAUUUUUAGUAGAGACAGGGUUUCACCAUGUUAGCCAGGAUGGUCUUGAACUCCUGACCUCGUGAUCUGCCUGCCUCGGCCUCCCAAAGUGCUGGGAUUACAGGCGUAAGCCACUGCACCCGGCUAUUUUAAAUCUACAGACAAAUCACCCAUGAAGUGCAGUGGGGGAAUAGAGGGCUGGGCUCAGUUAAUUCAGAAGAAGAUUUAUCCCAGGAUCAGGAAAUGAGAGUUUCAGAUGUUGCCAGUAGCUUAAGUGGCUUUUAGGGCCUUUUUUCUGUCUGGCCAGGGCUCAUCCUGGGCUGAGCUUUAAGGCCUGUUAGGGGCUGAAUUCUGUCCCCCUCAAAGUUUAUAUGUUGAACUCAUAACCCCAGUACCUUAGACUGUGACUGUAUUUGGAGAUAGGGUCUCUAAAGAGGUAAUUAGGUUAAAAUGAGGUCACUAGGGUGGGCCCUAGUCCAAUAGAAAUGUGUCCUUGUUGGAUAAGGGGCAACGUGGACACAGACACGUGCAGAGGGGAGCCCCUGUGAAGAAGCGGGGAGAAGACAGUCACCUGCAAGCCACAGACGGGGCCUGUGAAGGAACCAAUCCUGUCAAUACCUUGGUCUUGGUCUUGGCCUUCCAGCCUCCAAAACCCAGAGGCCAUCAAUUUCUGGUGAGGCAGCCCUAGCCGCCUUUCUAAGCGUUCAUACUCCUGGUUUGGCAGAGGGGAAGGGACCACGGCCAGCGCUUCUUAAACCUUCGUGUGUGUGAAACUCACUUCCUGGGGAGCUGGAUCAAGAUGCAGAUUCUAUGACCAUCUAGUUUCCCCUUUCUCAUCCCUUAUCUAAUUUGCUCCUCUGUGGAACUGUGUGAAGUAGACAGGGCAAGAAUUUUCAUCCCCAUUUUCCAGAUUAAGAAACUGAGUCUCAGAUGGAAGAAUCACAGCAAGUGAGAGGCAGUCAAGCCUCCAACUCAGGUCAAGUGAGGCGUCCUCACAUCCCAUGCCCCCCGUAAUUUCCCGAUCCCUAGCAGGGGCACCUGGGGAGACUCCCUGGUGAUGCUGUGUCAGGACUCCCUUCUUUAUUUUGAGACAGAGUUUCACUCUUGUCACCCAGGCUGGAGUGCAGUGGUGUGAUCUCAGCUCAUUGCAACCUCCACCUCCCAGGUUCAAGCAAUUCUCCUGCCUCAGCCUCCCAAGUAGCUGGGAUUAUAGGUGUGAGCCACCGUGCCUGGCAGGGCUCCCUUUUUGACAGACACUGUCUUAGACCUCAGGCUCCCUCAGGCCUUCGCUCUUGGGGGUUGGAGCUGAGGGGAGGAUGGAAAGUGUCCCUCCCCAUCACAGCGCAGCUAGCUGGUGAGAGGGGCUGGGAGCUCCCGGAUCUGUCUGGACAUGCAGCCACUCCUGGCAGUCCCCACCCCUCCUUCCACCCAGCCCCUCUGCCUUCCAGCAAGUGAAUGAAGUCAGGCAGGCCCUGGGCCAUCCCGGGUGAAGGAGGGAGUGGGCAUGGCUUGGCACUCCAAGGGCUCGCCAUUGGGAGGGGCGUGGAGACGGUGUGAACUCCUUGGUGUCUUGCUCUUGUCAUCUUCCAGCAUGACAUAUGCACAAAGGUACCUUUUAUAGGUGGGAAAUUAUAGGUGCUGCCACUUCAAAGGCCUUGGCAACCAGAGCUCCUCUUUGAUAGAUGACAGUAUUAUUAAUGGUGAUUUAUUGCUGGGGCCAUUUUGACAACAGAAAUAACCAGUUUCCCCACCUUUUCGGCUCUCUUCUCCCACACCUUCCUGGGGAUUUUUUUUUAUUUUGGCUGGCCCUGUGUGUUUUUCUGGCUGCAGGGGUUACCUCCCUGCACGAGGAGGCAUGGGAGGUAACCCAUGGAGCAUCUGCUUAAGGCACAUAGUGAGGCAUCUGGCUUAUUAACUUGUCAUCAUGUGUCAUAAAGUUUAGUGAAAUGCUGGCAGAUUGUAAUCCUAAACAGGGCAAUUACCCUCUUAUUAAAGCAGUACUUUUUCUGUCUGUCUGUCUGUCUCUCUCUUAUUUUUCUCUCUCUCCCUGCCUCCACCCCCUUUCCUGGGAUUGUUGUUACCUCUGCCCUACUUGCACAAUUAGUCAUGAGCGGAGGUCACCUGCUUCAUAAUGAUCCCAGAGUAGGCCUGGCCUUGGCGGGGCAGAGCUGAAGGGGAAGGGGCAAAGGAGAGCUAACCAUGGUGAGGCUUGCUGCAGCAAGCUGGCCUCACGGGGCAUGGGGACAAGGCGCUGUCCCAGGCGGGAGGCUGCAGUAAGAAGGUUGUGGUCUGAGGUUUCUGGCUGCAGGCAGCGAGAAGGAGAGAGGAGAGAGAGCUGACAGGAGCGACUGAGCCUCUGUGGACUUCGCCGCUCACCCAGAUUUUCCGGCAGAGAUGCCUCCCUCUGCCUUUUUCUCCCUCACUUUCGUAUCUCGAAACACAGGUGGAAAAUAAGAAAGGAAGUGGCAGUGGGUGAUGGGGGCCUGGGACAUGAGGACUCCUCACUUGAUCUGAAUUGGAGGCUUGGCUGCCACUCACUUGCUAUGAUUCUUCCAUCUGAGACUCAAUUUCUAAAUCUGUGAAAUGGGGGUGAAACAUCUUGCCCUGUCUGCUUCCCACAGUUUUAGGGAAGAUCAAAUUAGAAAAGGGAUAGGAAAGGGGAUGGCUCAUGGUAACUCACUCCACAAAUCUGAGGGAUGAUUGUAAUUUCAUAUGUGUGACCACAGGGUCUUAUGUCAUGUCUAACGGAGCUCUACCCCCGUGAUUCCAAAGGAUCGUUGACUAUAUUGAAAUUUGGUCUUCUGUCUCUUUCUGUAUUCCUCAGGGUUUUGAUGACCUUGGUUUCUAAAUCUGCCUGGGAGGCAUUGUUUGACUCUGGUCUGAACAACAGGAGUUUUCGGCACAGGUGUGAUCAUGUUACCUGCACAGUGCGAGGUUAAGAAGACAAAUGGGGGUAGGCUAGAGGCAACAGCCAAAUCACAAUUUGCCAGAUCUGAAAAGACCUUAGAGAUUACCUAGCUGAAUUGUCCCCUGCUGUAGAUUUGUAAAUCGAGGCUCGAAGAGGUAGAAUAACUUUCCUAAAAAUCAUCAGAUAAAUGACAGGCAGAGUGGAGACUAGAUCUCCCAUCGCCAGACUUGGCCCAGUGCUCUGUCCACCAAAGCAUGUUGACUGCAUCAACUCUGGGUGCACCUUCUCCUCCUUUAUCAUCAGUCAGCGUUCAGGAAAGCACUGCUAGCAGUCAUUUACACCUUAGCAUGAAUUUAAGCCAACAUUUAGUUCUCCCAGGUGCAUUUGCUUUUUUUUUUUUUGAGAUGGAGUUUUGCUCUUGUCGCCCAGGCUAGAGUAUAAUGGUGUGAUCUCAGCUCAUUGCAACCUCCACCUCCCGGGUUCAAGCGAUUCUCCUGCCUCAGCCUCCUGAGUAGCUGGGAUUACAGGCACCUGCCACCACGCCUGGCUAAUUUUUGUAUUUUUAGUAGAGACGGGGUUUUGCCAUGUUGGUCAGGCUGGUGUCAAACUCCUGACCUUAGGUGAUCUGCCCACCUCGGCCUCCCAAAGUGCUGGGAUUACAGGCGUGAGCCACUGUGCCCAGCCGCAUUUGCUUUUGAGGUCUCAUCCCAUUGUAUAGAUUGUUCCCUGUCAAUGGCAUUUCCAGCACUGGUGAGAAGAGAGGCAAGGCAGGGCUUGUGAUUCUCAUCCCCAAGACCCUGCCACUUGCCUACUCGCUCGGGCAAUGAGGGCGGGCACUGCUUCCAGAGUUAAACUGCACUGGACCCAGAUCUAUGUGUCCAUAAGUCAGAGCAAGUUUGUCAGAAGCUGUCAGGGAGUAAGGCUGAGUAGACGGAUGGAGUCAGACUCAUUUAAAAAUGGAAUACCAGCAGAUAGGUUUAAAAAUGGAAUGCGGCCGGCUAGAGUGAAGGUGGUCCCUAAACCAAACACCUGUCCCUUCUGUGUGUUUUCUGGUUUCUUUCCCCAUUGCUCGAGAAUGCUAGAAGCCAGACUAGUAUUAAGAACUCUAAAUUCCUAGCCUGGCAUGGUGGUUUACACCUGUAAUCCCAGCAACUUGGGAGAUCAAGGCAGGAGGGGAUCACUUGAGCCCAGGAAUUUGAGACCAACCUGGGCAACGUGUUGAAACCCCAUCUCUACAAAAAAUACAAAAAUUAGUCAGGCAUGUGGUGCAUGCCUGUAGUCUCAGCUACUUGGGAGGUUGAGGUGGGAGGAUUGCUUAAGCCCAGGAGGUCGAGGCUGCAGUGAGCCAUGAUCGCGCCACUGCACUCUAGCCUGGGUGACAGAGCGAGACCUUGUCUCAAGACAAACAAACAAACAAACAAACAAAAAACUCUUAAGUUCUAAGUGCCUGGAGCAGGGAGUGUUUCUGAGGCCUCAUGUUUACCAGGGCACUGUGCUAUGUGCAGGGUAGUGAGGGGGAGAGACACCAUUCCAACAUCUUGGAGCCCAAGUCUAGAGUCAGGGCCACAGAGGCGGGAGAGGAAGAGAAUCCCACUGCAAAUGGGCUGGGCCUCCCUGCCUUUGCCCAUUGAGUGAGCAACAGUGCUGUUUCUAUAGGUCUCUUUGAGCCUUAAGCAUGGAAUGUGAUGAGACUGAACAGUGAUAAAAUGUAUUGAUGGAACUUCUGUUCAUUGAAAUGCAAAGGGGAAGAAAGAAUUUAGAAAUGAUCUGAGGUUUCCAGCUUGGGGAGAGAGAAAGUGAGAGGAAGUGGGGGCCUAAGGGGAAUGGAAUGAACAGCCCCGACUUCAGGCUUGUAGACUGCAAUGGGGCAAGGCAGCUACAUGCAAAUGUCCUUCCUGGAGCCUGGAAACAAGGUCAAAGCAGAGAUGGACAAGUAGGAGCGCAGCCUAGAGGAGAUAGGUGAUGCCUGAAGCCAUGAGAAGGGGUGUUAUCUCUGCAGGAAGAAGAAUUGCAACACUCCUCCCAGCUGAGCAAACAGUCUGGGCUGGGAUGUGAGUGGUAUCACACUCUGCACUCACUUCCUCCUUCAGUGGUCAUUUGAGAGUUCACUGGGGCUGACCUACCCCAUUGGUCCUGGAGGACAGAAAGGAAUGGAGAAUAAAGAAGGUCUAAGGUGCAGUUUUUCCCCCUCCUCCAAAGCCAUGAAGGGACCUAUGGAUUUGAAAGCUGUGUGUGGUCACUGUGGACAGAGUGACUCCUACCCCACUGGGGGGCUUUGCCAGCCAAGGCACAAAUCAAGCCUUCUCUUUGCCCUCUGAAGUCAAAGGGAGAAGACCGGGGUUGUCCAUCUUUAUAGGCAGCCUCAGAUGAUCCAACCUAAUAUACGUCAUUAACAAAUUGUGUGAUCUUGAACAAGUCAGUUUAUCUCAUUGUGACUCAAGUGAACAUAAGGGUAUAGAGCAUUUGCCCUGCUGACCUCACUGGAUCAUUGUGAAAUAAUAGCUAAUGAGAUGGUGCAUAGCAGGUGUUUUGUAAACUUAACAGUGAUAGGCAAAGCUUAGUUCCCAUGAGAAUGACUCUCUGACUAUUAUCUAUGGCAUUGGAAUACUGACCUCCCUUCUCUGAGAAAGCUCCAGCGGCAAAAUGCUUCUGAUCUCAAACUUUAGGACCAAUUUUCUGGUUUACAGGGCAGGACGAGCCCCUUCUCUUAAGGAUCAAGGGGAUGAAGGAGAAUUCCCUGCUUUUGGUGGGGGGUUACUUCUGAAAGCCAUGCCCUGCUCCCAUCUGAGGAGGUCACCCAGUCCUAGUUUUGUCUGGAAGCACCCUGCCCAGCCCCAGGGGCCAGCCCCAUCCCAGCCAGGCCUCAGAGAUGUCAGACCUGAAAGGCAGCUGCUGCCUCUCCUUCUGACAGGUGUCUCCGCCAGAGCUGGGAGAUGAGGAGAUAGGCGAGCUGAGCACCUUUCCUCCUUGAAUUGAUAACUGCUUUGCAAUGCAGCUCUGUACUUGCUAAAUGAAACCUCCUGCCCCACCAUGAUGGAUUUAUGGCUGAAACAUCUUAUCUCAACUGAGAAUAUUUUAUGAGUGUGCAUGGGUGUGUGUGGGAUAGGAGGAGGGAAAAGGCAGUUUUGCAAACAUUUCUAGAGGUGCUCCAUAAUCUGCCCUACCCUGAAGUAUUAUCUAGAAGCUCUUUCUAGAUCUGCCAGGCUUAAGCAUCUAUAAGUCUUCUCCAGAUGCUAGCACAAUGUAGAUGCCUCAUGAAACAUUUGCUGAUGAUGAUGAUGACGAUGAUGACGAUGAAGGCUGUGGUCUGGAAGGGGACUCUGUUUUUGAUAAGUUUAAUUCAAUCCAGCAAAUAUUGAACAAAUGCUCAUUUUUGUUCAGGGCUAGGAAAGCUACUAUUAUUAUUUUUUUGGUGGGGUGGAGAAAGGGGAGAGUUGGAGAAUAUAAAAAUAAAUGACACAAACUCUUUUCUCUACAUCCUUGGUCUAUACUGAGGGGCCAGGACAUGCACAUUCGGAGUGGAUGUGGAGCAGAAGGGGUUGGAGUGGCAAGAACUAAUGGCCCAGAGUGUAGCUUCAGGAGCUGGACACACCUGGUGGGAUCUUUAGGUAGUUUCUUGUCUUUUGAGCUCCUCAGUUUUCUCCCCUCUAACAGGGGGACAACACUAUUCCCUAGCUCUAAGGUUGGUGUGAAGGUCAUAGGAUUUGCGUAGGGGUUACUUGGUACCAUGUGGGGUCAGCAGCUCAGUAGCAUCACCAACACGAGGAUGAAGAUGAAGGACCGACUCACUGACGAGGGUGGGCUGGAGAUGACUGGGAGCCAGGAACCAUCACAAACUCAGGGCUCUGUGUGCACUGGUUAUCCCAUUCUUUUGCAACCUUGUAAAAUUAAUUUAAUAGGUAGUACAUCCAAGUGGUUUAAAAAGCAAAAGGUAUAAAGAAAUAUGCAGUGAAGAUGAAAAUUGCUCUCAGUUCUGACCCCUCACUAUUGUGCUCCUCCUUCUCAGAGGCAGCUGUUGUCAUUGGUUUCUGGGGCAUUCUUUCCAAGGGCGUUGUACACCCAGCAUCUAAUGAUGCUACCUCUUCUUCCUCUUUCUUGUUUUAACCCAAAAGGAGGAAUUGGGAGUUGAUGAUAGCCAUAGAGUGGAAGGCAGCAGCUGGAGGGAGGAAGCUGGAUGUAUCUGAGCAUCUACUACGUGCCAGGCCCAGAUGAAAUCUUAUCAGUUCUAGCGAAAUUUGGAGAAAGAUUCACUGUCUUAGAAUUUGAAAACAUCAGUGCUGGAGGGGAAGGUGGAAGCCAUCUGGCUAAUCUUCAUUUACUGAUAUGGAAGUGACUAGUCCAAAGUCCCAGAGCUUUCUGAUUUUUGCUUCUUCUUGCUAGGAAAGCAAUUAUCCUAUAAUAAUCCUUCUUUACAGGUAAAAAUAUUUUAUGGUGCACCUGCCUCCCUUGCCAGUGGAAUGACAGUCUCCAUAGACCUGUGGGCCAUCUGGGCCCUGGGCCAGCCUCCUUGUCUCACACUAGCUUGUUGGGGACCUGCCCUUGCUGGCACCCAUCAUUCCAGCUCCCUCCUGUUGUAACUCCUGCCCCAAAUCCCAGGACUUGUCGCUGCCAGCUUUUUCCCCUGUUGUUCCUUGUCUUCCCACCCUUCUCAGGACUCAGGUCACCAGGAUAGGUGGACAUCCAAUUCCUGCUGGAGUGCCAGCAGGAGAGAUUUGGGGAACUCUUCCAGGUAAAGGGGGUUUUACCUGCUAAGGGUUGACUUGUGUCUCCCCCACAAAUUCAAAUAGUGAAGUCCUAAACCUGCCAGUACUUCAGAAUGUAAUUAUCUUUGUAGAUAGGGUCUUUAAUGGGGUAAUUAAAUUAAAGUGAGGUCACUAGGGUGGGGCCUAAUCCAAUAUGACUGGUGUCCUUAUAAGAAGAGGAAAUUAGGACACAGACAGGCACAGAGCGAUGACCAUGUGAAGACACAGGGAAGAGAUGGCCACCUACCACCAAGCCAUGGUCACCUACCAUCCAAGCCAUGGUCACCUAUCACCAAGCCACAGUCAUCUACCAUCCAAGCCACCGUCACCUACCAUCCAAGCCAUGGCCACCUACCUGCCAAGCCAUGGCCACCUACCCGCCAAGCCAUGGUCACCUACCCACCAAGUCAUGGUCGCCUACCAUCCAAGGAGCGAGGCCUGGAACAGAUCCUUCCCCAGAGCCCUCAGUAGGAGCCAACCCUGCUGACACCUUGAUCUCAGACUUCAAGCCUCCAGAACUGUGGGACAAUCCUUCACUGUCAUUUAAUCCACCCAGCAUGUGGUCUCUUGUCACAGUUGCAUUAGCCAGUGAACCUACCCGGGCCCUUCUGCAGUCACCUGGCUCAGGAGUGGUUCUGGUCAGGAAGUUCUGAGGCCAGGCAGGAUCGGGACACUCCCUGGAAAGACCCGAGGGAGAUAUUUGGGAAACAAGAGGGCUGGUGUGGCUUCUCAACAUGCCCACCAUAAAUCCUGCGCCAUCCCAGGGCCGAUGGGACCUGCUGUGUGUGCGGUAAACUGAAUGCCAGGAAGCCAGGCUCUGUCGAUCCCUGGUUCUGACUGUUGUGGGAUCUUGAGCAAAUCCCCUCGCCUCUCUGGGUCUCAGUUUCCUGAUUUGUGGGAUGGAGAAAAGGAUUAACUGUCCCACUUACCUUGAGGCUGUGGUGUGGAUUAAAUGAUUAAAAUGCAUAAGUGCAAUUGCAAAAAUAUAGAACCAGCCCAUCAAUCAAUGAGUGUAUAAAGAAACUGUUGUGUAUAUAAUAUAUAUAAUGGAAUACUACUCAGUCAUAAAAAGGAAUGAAUUAAUGGCAUUCGCAGCAACCACGAUGAGAUUGAAGACUACUAUUCUCUUUUUUUGCUUUGUUUUUGAGAUGGAGUCUUCCUCUGUCACCCAGGCUGGAGUGCAGUGGCACGAUCUUGGCUCACUCCAACCUCCGCCUCCCAGGUUCAAGUGAUUUAAGAUUGGAGACUAUUAUUCUAAGUGAAGUAACUCAGGAAUGGAAAAGCAAACAUCAUAUGUUCUCACUCAUAAGUGGAGCUAAGCUGUGAGGAUGUAAAGGCAUAAGAAUGAUACAAUGGACUUUGGGGACUCAGGGGGAAAGGGUGGGAAAAGGGUGAGGGAUAAAAAGCUACAAAUUGGGUUCAGCGUACACUGCUUGGGUGAUGGGUGCACCAAAAUCUCACAAAUCCCCACUAAAGAACUUACUCAUGUAACCAAAUACCACCUGUUCCCCCCAAAUCUAUGGAAAUUAAAAAAAAUUAAAUAAAGUGUGCAAGUGCUGGCGAGGCCCCGAAGGAGCCCCACAUUGGUGAUGGCAACGCAGGUGACAGCACUUUCUCUCCCCAGUGGGGCUGGUGGUGCCCAUUCCUGGCUGCCCCACUCUGAGUCUGAGGAGGAACCAAGGCUUUCCUGGAAAUGCAGGGGCUGCCAUCGGCCUGUGGGCUUAGGGUCCCAAACAGGGAGAGCCCAUUGUUUGUCAUUUCUCCUCAGUAAGCAGAAAGCUCUAAGCCCUGAAGCCUCCGGUAAACGUCAGAACAUUUGGACAUCUGAGUCCAUUGUCUCCAGGUCUCAUAAUUUUCCUACAUUAAAAAUCCAAUAAUGCAUUUUGUGGAAAAUUUAGAAAGUACAGAUAAACAAGAGAAUAAAAAACAUGAAUUUUACCACUGUCAAAGCUGAAGGUCUAUCCUUCUAGCCUCUUCUUUAAAUGUGUGUAUUUUCAGAAAAAUGAAACCCUGUUGCACAUAAUACUUUAUAAGUUUUUUUUUUUUGACAAGGUCUCAUUCUGUUGUCCAGGCUAGAAUACAGUGUUAUGAUCAUAGCUCACGGCAGCUUCAAACUCCUGGCCUCAAGUGAUCCCACCUCAGCCUCCCAAAUUGCUGGGAUUCCAGGUAUGAGCCACUGCACCCAGCCUAUAGCUUCUUUUUUUUCAUUUUUUUAUUUUUUGAGACAGAGUCUCACUCUGUCUCGCCCAGGCUGGAGUGCAGUGGCAUGAUCUCGGCUCACUGCAGCCUCCCCUUCCCAGGUUCAAGUGAUUCUCCUGUCUCAGCCUCCCGAGUAGCUGGGACUACAGGCGUGUGCCACCACACCCGGCUAAUUUUGUAUUUUUAGUAGAGAUGAGGUUUCACCAUGUUGGCCAGGCUUGUCUUGAACUCCUGACCUCAAGUGAUCCGCGUGCCUCAGCCUCCCAAGGUGCUUGGAUUACAAGCAUGAGCCACUGCGCCUGGCCCCUAUAACCUAUUUUUAAGUCAAUGAUGUAUCACAAACAUUUUCCCAUGUUGACCUUCAUCCCCACCACCACUUUUUAGUUAGGAAUAACCAAAAAUUUCAGAUGAACAGUUCUAGAGACCACUAAAUGUGAGGAAUAGAAGGGUCCUGAACACGGCUUCUCCUCUCUGCCCAGCGUUACUUCUCAGGUGUGUGUCUCACCGGGGGCAGGUAAAGUUCUGGGAGAAUCCUGAAUUUACGGUCAGAUAGGCUAGGAGUCCAACUUCAGCUCUGCCAUUGACAAGCUGUAAGUGGGAAGGGAAAGGGCUGGGGCAAACUGCUUCUCUUUCCCAGCCCCCACCAAGGAUUAAUGGCUUAUUGUAAGUAAAAGAAUUUUCUAGCCCUGGCACAGUGGCUCGCGCCCGUAAUGACAAUGCUUUGGGAGGCUAAGGCGGGAGGAUUCCUUGUAACCAGGGCUUUGAGACUAGCCUGGGUAAUGUAGUAAGAACCUAUCUCUAUUAAAAAAAACAUUAGCUGGGUGUGGUGGUGCACGCCUCUAAGUCCCACCUACUUGGGAGGCUUAGGUGGGAGGAUCGUUUGAGCCCAGGAGUUUGAGGCUGCAGUGAGCUAUGAUUGUGCCACUGCAAUUCAGCCUGGGUGACAAAGAGAGACCCUGUUUCUAAAAAUAAAUAAAUAAAUAAAUAAUAAAAAGAGCUUCGUAAACUGGCAGCUACAAUUAAUACAAGCUCAUGGAUGAACAAAGGACAUUUUGUUGGUUUUGCAAGGGAAAAAAAUCCUAUUUCUGGAGGGUCACGAGGCACCAUGAAUGAAUGAGAGUUGGGCCUGUAGGGAGGAGGAGAAUUUGAAAGAAAGAAACAUCAUAUUUGAGUUUGGAGAAAGAAUUUGGAUUCUGAGAACAGAUUCCUUGGUAGAUGAAGGAGUGAGUAAGCUCAGUUUGGAGGAAGGGAAGAAAAAGGUUGAUUUUAAGGAAGCCAGUAACAAACAGUAAUAGUGAUGAGGAGGAUGAGAGCUCACUCACAGGGUUUAUUUACCAUGUAUCGGACACUGUUCUAAGCACUUCAAAAAUAUGAACUUGCUGGUCCACAAAACAAUCCUACAAAGCAAAUACAAUUUUUUUUAUUCCAUUUAUUCCAAUUGUUUCCAAUUAUUUCCAAUUUAUUCCAAUUAUUUCCAUUUUUUUAUUUUUUAAAAUUAAUUACUUUUUCUAGGGAUAGGGCCUUGCAUCACUCCCUGGGCUGGAGUGUAGUGGUAUGAUCAUAGCUCACUCCAGCCUCCAAGUCCUGAGCUCAGGCGAUCCUCCUGCCCCAGUCUCCUAAGUAGCUGGGACCACAGGGUUGUGCCACCACACCUGGAUAAUAUUUUAUUUUUUGUAGAGACCAGGUCUUGUUAUGUUGCCCAGGCUGGUCUUGAACUCCUGAUCUCAAUUGAUCCUGCCACCCUGGCCUCCUAAAGUAUUGGGAUAGUAUGAGUGUGAGUCACUGUGCCCAGUCUAUCCCUUUUUUUUUUUUAGAUGAGAACACCGAGGCACAGAAAGAUGAAGGAAUUUGUUAAGUGGAGCAGCCAGGGUCUGAGCCCAGGGCCGUGCGUUCCCCUGGACUGUACACAUACCACACACACCUGGACCAGGGAGGCAGGGCCGGAGAGUGAGAACCCCCUAGACAGAUUGAAUUUGAAGAUGUGAAUGUUGCAUCUAUUUGUUGUUGCCUAUUUGGAGACAAUGGGUGGGGAGUAGUUUCUUUCUUUGCUUCCCUGGCACUCAGCGAGAGCCUUCAGAAGGCAUUUGGAUUUGUGACAACUUGGGAAGUGCAGGGGUGAGGAGUUGGGAAGAGAUGAUGGUGUCCUGGCCAUUCUUUUUCCAGAGCUCCAGGGUGGUGGCCUGAGGGAGGGAGCUGUCUGCUUCCCUUGAGGCCGAUGACCUGUGCCAUUCUUGACCAUCCCCUCACCAAGAGGAACUGAGACUGGUGAGAACUGCCCCCAUGGCUUGAGAUGGAUCCUGGGACCCAAAGUGGGGCCCUAUGGUGGGUGUGGGCUGUGGUCGGUGUCUCUCGGUUCACACAAGAAUCACACACAGCUUCCCCUUCCCCUCCUUCCUCUUCAGUCUUCCCUCUUCCCUCCCAUCCACUCUUUCUCCCCAGUGUGGCCUGGUGGAGGCGGUGAUAGAGGGAGUGGGCAAAGGAAGGAGAGAGUCUGAUGCUACUUUCUGGGAGUGGGUGAUGAGGGACCCCCGUGGGUUACCCUUAGGUCCUAGAGAAGUUUGGGGGAAAAUUUUGUGUUCCUUUUGUCCGUGUGGGGAAGAAAUAGGAGAACCAGUAUCAUGGGGCCUGCCCUGCCUGCUGCUGUCAAAACCUGCUGACAAGUAGACGACCUGCUCCUGCUGUUACGGUCAGGGUCCUGAGACUAUCCCUGGACCCUGAGAACCCAUGGAGAAACCUAAAUCAGAUGCUAGUCUCCUCCAGUCCACUCUGCCCGGCUUGGGGCUGGCUGGCUGUGGAUAACUGGGAAAGCAGCCACAAAACAGGAGGUUCUGGAAGCUUCCUGAUGGGCUGGCUGGAGGGAGACCUGAGUGUGGCAAAGGUAGCAGAGGGGUCGAGGGGUUGGCAGGGUGCAUUGCUGAUUUAAUCAAAAAUGUGCUGGGUGCCGAGGACUGACGUCACCACAUCACACUCCAGUCCCCACACCCCACUGGCUCAAGGUGCCAUACAGCAGGUGAAUGGACAAAUGGUCAUCCCAUCAGCCAAGUACCCAGCCAGAGGUCCUGGGAGGGCGCUGGAGGCACUGGAGGAAGUUGAAUGGGCUCCGCACAGAGGGAUCCUUACUGACAGGCAAUUACUAUGCAGACAACUCUGUCUCUUCCCCACAGAUGGUCCUUUUUCUUGGGUGUGGGUGUACACAUACACACACACUCACACACAUACACACACACAAAACUCACAUACUUUGUGGUUUGACGUAUAUCUCUUUUUAAAAAUUAGUGAGUAAUAUAUGGAAUCUAAAAAAGUUGAACUCAUACAGUUGGGAGUAGAAUGGUGUUUACCAGAGGCCUGGGAGUGUGGGUCGGGGGGAGAGAUGGUUGGGGAAAGGGGAUGUUGGCAAAUGGGGGCAGAGUUUCAGUGACGUAGGAAGAAUAUGUCCUGGUGAUCUGUUGCAGAGUAAAGUGACUGUAGCUAAUAAUAAUGUAUUGUACAUUUCAAAAUAGCUAAAAGAAUUUUACAUGUGCUAACCACAGAGAAAUUAUAAAUAUUUGAGGUGAUGGAUAUGCUAAGUACCCUAAUUUGAUCAUUCCACAAUGAAUACAUGUAUUGAAACAACACACUCUACCCCAUAAAUAUAUACAGUAAAAUUAUUAUUUGUCAAUUACAAAUAAAACUUUUAAAAAAGAAAAAUAUUAGUUGGGAAAAUUUUAAACAUACACAAAACUAGAGGGAAGAGCUUAGUGACUCUCCUUGUGCCGUACCCAUCUCCCAGCGUCUACAGUGAUCAGCAUUUUGCCGAUUUUGUUUCAUCCGUCUCCGCAGUAUAUUCUAACAACCAGCCACAAUUCUCUGCGUUUCAUCAGUGCUUUAAGAAUGCCUCUCUCUCUCCAUCCUUACAGCAAUACUGGUGGGUCAAGCAGAGUAGUUAUUAUUAUCGUCAUUUUUUGAAGAGAAGACCAAGUCUCUGAGGUUCAGGAACUCUUUCAGGGUCACACAGCACCUAGAGUCUCUGAUGCCUAAUCUGACCCUGUCAUUGGCUCAUUUCUUUCUCUAUCUCUCUUUUUUUUUUUUUUUUUUGAGAUGGAGUCUCGCUCUGUCACCCAGGCUGGAGUGCAGUGGUGCGUUCUCGGCUCACUGCAACCUCCACCUCCCUGAUUCAAGCAAUUCUCCUUCCUCAGCCUCCUGAGCAGCUGGGAUUACAGGCGCCCAUCACCACACCCAGCUAGAUUUUGUAUUUUUAGUAGAGACGGGGUUUCAUCAUGUUGGCCAGGCUGGUCUCGAACUCCUGACCUCAGGUGAUCCACCCGCCUUGGCUUCUCAAAUUUUGGGAUUACAGGCAUGAGCCACUGCUCCCGGCAUCACUGGCUCAUUUCAACUGCAUUUUUGGAUGCAGGCAGGGUGUGUGUGUGUGUGUGUGUGUGUGUGUGUGUAUGUAGGGGGAGCACCUCAGCUGGGGGUCCCUGGAACUCUCAGCCUUCCUUUUGUCCCUUUGCUAGUUGCCCUGCUGGUUGGAGGGGCCGGGGGCAGAAGCAGGCAAAUGAAUCUCUCCUAAGUUUUUCAUUGAUGGCUUCCUUGAAUUGUGGCUGCAGGAUGUUUAUAAAACUCUGAAUCAAUUUGAGGUGCAGAGAUUUUCAAUCAGGGAAGCAGAUUGCACUGAUAGGGUCAAAAGGCCUGUCGCCAGCGAGGAUCACAGCAUCUGACAUAUUAAUUUGAGCUGUCAGAAUCGAUAUGUGUAACGGAGACGUGGAGGCACAGGCGCUGUUUCUGAAAAGGAGUGGGAAAAGAAAAAUAAGGGGGGUGGGAUCCCACCCUACUAGGGACUAACCUUUUGCAGAUCCUGUAGAAGCAAUCCCGCCAGCGUGGGGCCAGUGUGCCCGUGGUUCCUGGGGAGGCGGGAGGGGGUGAGAGGACUGGAGCCUUCUCUGUGGGGAUGCUGGUCACGGCACAGCAUCCCCGCAGAGACAGUGGCCCUGUCACCUCCCCCAUCCCCGCCACAAGUAAACUUUACCUGGCUUUUCACAAACACCCACUCUCUGUCUCUUUCCUUGCCCCAUUUGAGUUUCAAAGCCCUCUGUCUGUCAAAGAAGGCAGAUCUGAGCCCUGGCAGGAAGUGCAUUUGUUACUGAGAACCCUUUGGUAUUUUGCAUAUGAAACGUCGACACUGGAGUCAGGCUUCUGGGAGGAAGUCACCGUGGAGUCCUCCUCACCCAGGGGAGCACAGGACACAUGGGGUCUGUGUGGGUGCUGGGGGCACAGAAGGAACAUGGUGCUCCUAGGAGCUGCCCAUCUUGUGGGUUCAACAUGGAAAAGAGUGUGAGCCCGGGAAGGCCCAGUCGUACCCAUGCUUCUUAUACCGAGGAAUCGUGACAACAUGUGAACACACGUCACAUCGUGGCCAAGACACAGCAGAGGCUCCCGGGAUGUUGGUUGCAUUCCUGGGAGCCCCUGGGUGCCCCUGGGUCCUGAUUGUGUUGGUGAUCUCUCAUGUAAAGAAAAUUUUUUUUCCACACAAUGGAAUAAAAUUAUGCUUAUAAAAUUAGGCACAGGGUUAGCAUUUAUGGAGAUAGAACCAUCCAAGGUGAGCCAUGUCCUUAUAGUCACAUUUGAGCAAAUGGAGACAGAAAUCUGAAUACUUUGCAAACUGCCAAGGUCCCACAGUGUAUUAGUCUGUUCUCAUGCUGCUAAUUAAGACAUACCUGAGACUGAUUAACUUAUAAAUGGAAAGAAGUUUAAUGGACUCACAGCUCCACAUGGCUGGGAGGCCUCACAAUCAUGGCAGAAGGUGAAUUAGGAGCAAAGGGAGGUCUUACAUGGCAGCAGGCAAGAGAGCGUGUGCAAAUGAGCUCCUCUUUAUAAAACCAUCAGAUCUCGUGCGACUUGUUCACUAUCACGAGAACAGCACCGGAAAGACGUGACCCCAUGAUUCAAUUACCUUGCACCGGGUCCCUCCCACGACACAUGGGAAUUAUGUGAGCUACAACUCAAAAUGAGAUUUGGGUGGGGACAUAGCCAAACCAUAUCACACAGAGGUGGGAGGGGGUUCAGACUCUUGUUAGGCGAGAUUCCUGCCUUGCUUCAUCUCUGUAGUGCCUGGGCCUUGCACAUGGAGGAUGGAGGGUUUUCUGGGCAGUGGCAUGGAAGGGCCUCCCUUGGGGACACAGAACCUAACCUCUUAUCUCUGUUUCCAGGCUGGUCUCCGUCUUACCAUCUGCCCUGCAUUACUUUUCCAGGGCUUCCUGUGUGAUGACCACGUCUUCUUCCUGCCAGACACUCUCUGCCCCAUCUUAAAACUGGUUUAGAACCUUGUUUUAAUGAUUCAAGCUUUUUCCCUUUCCAAACAUUUUGUUAUGUGCAAGGAAUGCAGAUUGUUAAAGGAAAUAGCUUCUGAAAAAAAAUCUCGCCUGAGUUGUGUGGAAGAACUAUGGAUGCCCUUGCUUUGAGCAGAGACUUGCAAUUUUGAAGAGAAAGUAAAUAGGGAGGUGUUGGGGGAGGUGGUCCUCAGCCCCCAGCUUCUCCCUGUCCCAUCUCUGGGUGCGGGAUCUGUCUCGCUGGCUGGAGGAGGUCUGAGCAGUGAUGUGGCGACUGCUGCUUUGUCUCCUCUGGCAGCUUCCUGAUCUAUUAUAAAGGACAGCUUUUCAACCACUUUCUCUCUUUGGGUGGAAAAAGAUGGGUGAGAUUUACAAGAACAGUUAUAUAUAUUUUUUCCUGAUCAUUAUUCUCCUCCACCUGCCACACGCAGGUCAAAAUAAAUCAUGGAGAGAGGGAUGGAUGGAGAGAGAGAGAAAAGGGUAGGAAGGGAGAAAGGGGUGAGAGAGAGAGAUUUGCAGGAAUACUCAUUGGGGUAAUAGCUAAAGCAUGAGAGACUUCGACUUCUUCUUAUUCUUCCUUUUUUUUUAAGAGAGAGAGAGAGACAGGGUCUUACUACUCUGUCACUCAGGUUGGAGUGCAGUGGUAUGAUCAUAGCUCACUGCAGUCUCAAACUCCUGGGCCCAAGCAAUUCUCCCAUCUCAGCCUCCCAACUAGCUGGGACUACAGGUGUGAGCUACGAUGCCCAGCUAUCUACUUUAUUUUUUGUAGAAACAGUGUCUUGCUAUGUUCCCCAGGCUGGUCUCAAAUUCUUGGUCCCAAGGGAUCCUCCCACCUCAGCCUCCCAAAGUGUUGGGAUUACAGGUGUGAGCCACUGCACCUGGCUAAGAGUUUUCUUCUUGGUGAUGAAAAUUUUCUGAAAUCGCCUGUGUGUUUGUUUGUUUUUUUUUUUUUGAGAUGGAGUUUUGCUCUUGUUGCCCAGGCUGGAGUGCAAUGGCAUGAUCUUGGCUGACUGCAACUUCUACCUCCCAGGUUCAAGUGACUCUUCUGCCUCAACCUCCCGAGUAGCUGGGAUUACAGGCGCAUGCCACCACAUCUGGCUAAUUUUUGUAUUUUUAGUAGAGACGGGGGUUUCAGCCAUGUUGGCCAGACUGGUCUUGAACUCCUGACCUCAGGUGAUCUGCCUGCCUCAGCCUCCCAAAGUGCUGGGAUUAGAGGCAUGAGCCACCAUGCCCGGCCUAAAAUUGCCUGUUCUAAUGGUCGCACAUAUCUGUAAAUAUAUACUUUAAAUGGGUGAAUUGGUGUGGUAUAUGACUUAUAUCUCAAUAAAGCUGGCAAAGAAAAAAGGAUACAUCUGCACCAGGGCCUGGCCUUGGACUUGAACUUGGAAGGGUGUGAGUGCUCAAUCUCCACCAGCCUCCGUCCCUGGAAUGGGGUCGCCUACAGAAUCUAGAAGGCACCAAAGAGGCUUGUAAAGGAUCUCCAUCUCUGAACCAAACCCAGCACCUAACAAGUGGAGGGGCCUAAAGUUAAGUUGGCUCUGUGCUGAGAUGUCUGUGGGACGUUGCUGCUGAGAGGUAUAUUAGCAAUUGCAAGGUCCAAACCCUCAUUUCUCAGAUGCAAACUGAGGCCCAGAAAGGGGAAUGACUGGUCCACAGUCACAGCUAGUUGGAGUCACAUCUGGGUCCAGAAACCCAUCUUCUGAUGCUCAUGUCCUUCCUUUCCUUCUACAAGGAGGACUAAGAUACGUGCUGGGGACUUAUAAGUUAAUAGCCAGUCCUUAUGGAGUGUGCAACAUGGUGGGGGCCAAUGAGGGGUGGCUGGUCAUCACAUCACAGUUUGAGGAGUUUUGAAAGGGAGAGUGGAGAGGGGGUAGACAGACCUUGGGCAGACCUUGGGGUUGGGGUGGGGGUGCACAGCAUGCCAGGGAGGUUGGUUGUGUGUGUGUGGUUUUUGGGGGUGGGGGGGCAAGGAAGGCUCCCCAGAGGAAAGGACUUUUCAUCUGUGAUCUGACUGUGGACUACCAAAUCAGGUAAAAAGCUUGAGGCCAGGGGUGGCAGGGAGAGAGUGCCCCUCCUUGGCAGAGGGUCCAGGGGAGGGGUAAGUUGGGAGAUUCGCAGCACUCAGAAGAUGUUUUGCUUGGCUGAGGAAGACUCCAUUUGGGGAAUGAGCAGAAAAUGUGGAGCACUGAAAGGGAAGAGGUCUGUUUUAGAUACUGCAUGACCUUCUACACCUCUGUAAGGUGUUUGGACUUGAUCUUGAACUUAAUGGAGAGACUUUGAUGGGUUUUCUGCAUGUUUUUCUAACAUCUAGAUGCUAAGGGAACUCUCCUCUGGUCCACUGGCCAGGAAGCCCUUGGGUCAGCUUUGUAACAGCUGUUUUUAUUGAGCAUUUACUGAGUGUCUGGCUCUGGUCUAAAGUGAGUAUUUAACAUAGAGGAGCUCAUUUAAUCUCCAUUACAACCCUAUAAAGCAUCUACCAUUAUUACUCACAUUUUACAGAUGUUAAUAGCUAACAGUUUUUCACUAACUAUGUGCCAGGUAUUGUGUUAAGGACUUUACGGAUAUCAACUAACUUAUGCCUCAUAAAAACCCUGUAGAGCAGGCACUAUUAUUAUCUUCCUGUUAUAAACUAGGAGACUGAGGCACAAGGAAGAUAAAAAGCUCACCCAAAGUCACACUGGCCAUUCGCAGAGCUGGGAUUCACACCCAGCAGAUUUGACUCCAGAGCCACUCCAAACCCCUGCACCAAUGGCUGGGG